rnacentral:rRNA from 1 species
ACACGUAGGGGCCUGACGUUGUUCGGAAUCAUUGGGCGUAAAGGGCGCGCAGGCGGCCGUCCAAGUCCGGUGUUAAAUGGUCGGGCUCAACCCGAUCAUGCGCUGGAAACUGGGCGGCUUGAGUCCCGUAGGGGAUGCCGGAAUUCCAGGUGUAGGGGUGAAAUCUGUAGAUAUCUGGAAGAACACCGAUGGCGAAGGCAGGCGUCUGGCCGGAGACUGACGCUGAGGCGCGAAGGCGCGGGGAGCGAACAGGUUUAGAUACCCUGGUAGUCCGCGCAGUAAACGAUGCGCACCAGGUGUCGGGCGGCAGCGCCCGGUACCGGAGCUAACGCGAUGAGUGCGCCGCCUGGGGAGUAUGCCCGCAAGGGUGAAACUCAAAGGAAUUGACGGGG